AGGAGCUGCCGCAGGCUGCGAUCUUUUGAUCUUGUUCUAAAUGCAAGAUCACAAGAUCGCAGCCUGCGGCAGCUCCU
rnacentral:misc_RNA from 1 species